rnacentral:rRNA from 1 species
CUACGGGUGGCUGCAGCAGGGAAUAUUGCACAAUGGACGGAAGUCUGAUGCAGCGACGCCGCGUGGAUGAUGAAGGCCUUCGGGUUGUAAAAUCCUUUUCAGGGAGAAGAGGAAGGACGGUAUCCCUGGAAUAAGCGUCGGCUAACUACGUGCCAGCAGCCGCGGUAAUACGUAGGACGCAAGCGUUAUCCGGAUGUACUGUGCGUAAAGCGUCUGUAGGCGGUUUAGUAAGUUUGAUGUGAAAGCUCCAAGCUCAACUUGGAGAGUGCAUUGAAUACUGCUAGACUUGAGGGGAUCAGAGGAGAGCGGAAUUUCCGGUGUAGCGGUAAAAUGCGCAGAUAUCGGAAAGAACACCAGUGGCGAAGGCGGCUUUCUGGGAUCAACCUGACGCUGAGAGACGAAAGCUAGGGUAGCGAACAGGAUUAGAUACCCCGGUAGUC